rnacentral:rRNA from 1 species
AUGCUGGAGGUAUCAGAAGUGCGAAUGCUGACAUAAGUAACGAUAAUGCGGGUGAAAAACCCGCACGCCGGAAGACCAAGGGUUCCUGUCCAACGUUAAUCGGGGCAGGGUGAGUCGACCCCUAAGGCGAGGCCGAAAGGCGUAGUCGAUGGGAAACAGGUUAAUAUUCCUGUACUUGGUGUUACUGCGAAGGGGGGACGGAGAAGGCUAUGUUAGCCGGGCGACGGUUGUCCCGGUUUAAGCAUGUAGGCGGAGGUUCCAGGUAAAUCCGGUACCUUUUUAACGCUGAGGUGUGAUGACGAGGCACUACGGUGCUGAAGUAACAAAUGCCCUGCUUCCAGGAAAAGCCUCUAAGCAUCAGGUAACACGAAAUCGUACCCCAAACCGACACAGGUGGUCAGGUAGAGAAUACCAAGGCGCUUGAGAGAACUCGGGUGAAGGAACUAGGCAAAAUGGUGCCGUAACUUCGGGAGAAGGCACGCUGAUAUGUAGGUGAAGUGAUUUACUCAUGGAGCUGAAAUCAGUCGAAGAUACCAGCUGGCUGCAACUGUUUAUUAAAAACACAGCACUGUGCAAACACGAAAGUGGACGUAUACGGUGUGACGCCUGCCCGGUGCCGGAAGGUUAAUUGAUGGGGUUAUCCGUAAGGAGAAGCUCUUGAUCGAAGCCCCGGUAAACGGCGGCCGUAACUAUAACGGUCCUAAGGUAGCGAAAUUCCUUGUCGGGUAAGUUCCGACCUGCACGAAUGGCGUAAUGAUGGCCAGGCUGUCUCCACCCGAGACUCAGUGAAAUUGAACUCGCUGUGAAGAUGCAGUGUACCCGCGGCAAGACGGAAAGACCCCGUGAACCUUUACUAUAGCUUGACACUGAACACUGGUCCUUGAUGUGUAGGAUAGGUGGGAGGCUUUGAAGUGUGGACGCCAGUCUGCAUGGAGCCAUCCUUGAAAUACCACCCUUUAAUGGCUGGUGUUCUAACGUGGACCCGUGAUCCGGGUUGCGGACAGUGUCUGGUGGGUAGUUUGACUGGGGCGGUCUCCUCCUAAAGAGUAACGGAGGAGCACGAAGGUUAGCUAAUCCUGGUCGGACAUCAGGAGGUUAGUGCAAAGGCAUAAGCUAGCUUGACUGCGAGAGUGACGGCUCGAGCAGGUGCGAAAGCAGGUCUUAGUGAUCCGGUGGUUCUGAAUGGAAGGGCCAUCGCUCAACGGAUAAAAGGUACUCCGGGGAUAACAGGCUGAUACCGCCCAAGAGUUCAUAUCGACGGCGGUGUUUGGCACCUCGAUGUCGGCUCAUCACAUCCUGGGGCUGAAGUAGGUCCCAAGGGUAUGGCUGUUCGCCAUUUAAAGUGGUACGCGAGCUGGGUUUAGAACGUCGUGAGACAGUUCGGUCCCUAUCUGCCGUGGGCGCUGGAGAAUUGAGGGGGGCUGCUCCUAGUACGAGAGGACCGGAGUGGACGCAUCACUGGUGUUCGGGUUGUCAUGCCAAUGGCAUUGCCCGGUAGCUAAAUGCGGAAGAGAUAAGUGCUGAAAGCAUCUAAGCACGAAACUUGCCCCGAGAUGAGUUCUCCCUGAGACU